rnacentral:rRNA from 1 species
UACGGGGGGGGCAAGCGUUGUUCGGAAUUACUGGGCGUAAAGGGCUCGUAGGCGGCCAACUAAGUCAGACGUGAAAUCCCUCGGCCUAACCGGGGAACUGCAUCUGAUACUGGAUGGCUUGAGUUCGGGAGAGGGAUGUGGAAUUCCAGGUGUAGCGGUGAAAUGCGUAGAUAUCUGGAGGAACACCGGUGGCGAAGGCGGCAUCCUGGACCGACACUGACGCUGAGGAGCGAAAGCCAGGGGAGCAAACGGG